CUCGACAGCGCCCAUUCGUGGUAGCGGCCGAUGCGGGGUCUAUCUUUUAUUAUGUCUAUGGGAAGAAGUGUCCUGCUUCCGUAGUACACGCCCCCAUGAAAGACAUUUCCGGUUGUAGCUCAUCACGCACGGGUGUGCCAAAGUUUACCUGGCUGAGAGGAGCGUCUCCAUAGCGAAUUUGUUUUCAUUUUAUACUUCAAGAGAUACUCAUCUCAAAGGAGGAAACUUUUCAUAGAUCUGGGAGCAGCUGGAGAAACUGUUUUUAACACUCGCACACUGCUGCAAUCCACCGGAGUAACCGAAUAUGAUGAAGAUGUAAGAGAUAUCUCAUGGAAACAGCAGAGGGCAGCAGUACGCCUCGGAUGCGUCCAGUCUGCCAAAACCGUAGAAGAAGAAGAAGAGGAGACGCAAGAUGCAGCUGAAAGAGUUUACAAAAUGAGGUAAAUCAAGAAAGAAAAAACAAACAAACACCGACGCGCUACAGAUGAUUUGCGGAUCUUUAGAUGUUUGUGUCUUUUGUCAGUGUUUGUGUACUGUUACCGUCACGAGCCUGUCCCUUUAAGUAGGUGGCUUAUGGGUAAUGUAGGCAGAGAUAGUCUGUUGUGUUUUUGUAGCUCUGAAUGAAAGUACACUUUUCAGAAGUUACGCUCCAUCUUUACAAUGUUUUCUCCUGACAUGUCAGCCAGUUACCAGUCUUAAACGAGCCAAAGUAGCUGUCCCACACCACGGUUAGGGACGAGGUAGCUCAAAAGGUAAACACCUUUAAUAUCUUGCUGUGUCUUCCUCCCACACACCCCAUGGCUCCAUAUAUCCUAGGAUAAUUUGGCAAUUUGAGGACAUUAGAACCUAAAGGCGAAACAUCAGAUCAUGGCUGAACUCGUUGGUUGCGUAUGAAAAUUCUGACUUGUAUUCCUGGCCCAGAAACAGUUUGUGAUGUAGAAAAAAAAAGUCAUCUCACUUUCUAACAGCGUAUGUAAUAAAUAACAGAGGUGAUUAAAGAUAAAAUUUGAAGAGAUGGAAGUGUGUUCAGGAUGAAAGUAACGUGUGUCUUCCUCCCCAGGUAGAGAAACACCACCCAGAACCCACAAGCUCUGCUGGACUUGGAGCUGUGUUUGGCUGACACACAGUCUGAGGUGAGUCUGCAAGUAACCAUUGACUUUCUAACACUUGUUAUUUUCCAGUCUAACCACUUUAGGGUCAGAUCUCAGACCCCCAUCAGAUCGUUUUUUAUUUCUGAAUAAUGCAAAGCUUGAACAGCUGGCGCAGAGUUGUUGAAGUUAUAGAAAAGUGUAUCUUUUUACGAUAUGAACAACUGGUAGGCCAACAAACGGAGAAGUGUACAUAUUCAUUUGUUCAGGAAGAUGGUAGUGAAAAUGUCUGGUGGAAGAAAAUACUCCAGACUCCACAUGUCUUGUACAUUUGUCAGUAAUCCUUUUCUUCUCUCCUUGGCAGGCAUCUGGAGGCGUGUAUGAAGAGUUCAUCGACUCUCCAAGUCUAGAUAAUGUCCACAGCUGCUAUUGCGCCCUGCAGGUCACUGUCCAUACAUACAGGAAUAAUGUAAUAUUUUAUGCUGCACUAUGUUAAAUCUGUACAUCAUUUUUGUUGUUUUAGCAAUGCUUUUUGUUGUCUCUUAGGGGCGAGUGGAGUCUUGCUCUGGAAACUGUCUAGGCAAAGAAAGGAAUGAACUCUCUGUAUGACAAUGAAGAGGUGAGUGAGACUCAAACUGGACCAGGUUCUGAUGUAUAAUGAGGAUGAGUUUCUGCCAUAGACUGUAUAUAGAACGGACGCCGUCUGCCUCCUCGCUGGGUGAAGCCACCCUGAGAACAGUACCCGCUGCUGACGGGUUGCAGUGUAGGUUGUAAAUUCUGCCUCUGCCAGCAAUCCUUAAUGAGCUGUAGACAAAGGUUAGAGAUGUAUUACACUGAAUCUAAAAUUUUCUCCCCCUUGGUUGUGAUGUUGACAUGUAGUUACUGUAAGAGUGGUUUGUGCUCAAGUCCUCUUUUUUUUCUGUACAGCUCCAUUUUUCAAAGUUAUUAGGGGGUUCAUGUUUUCUACGAUUGACACUUGAUACAGCCUACGGGUGUAUGAAUAUUGCGUUAGCAGAGUGUCAUCACAGCGGCUCUCAGUGAGUCUCCAGCCGAAUGCGUACAACGCUACUGCGCAAUGUCGGUUCCACGAAGUGGAGGAAAAACCUGGAUAAACUGAGAGCUCUUGGGCUUACUGGCUGAAGGCAGAACCAAGUUGUCCAUAGUAUAUAUACAUGAUGAACACACAACUGUUCCCAGUGAUGGGUGAGGUGAAAGUGAUAGGUGGAUGAAGGAGAAAACUGUUUGUUUAGAGAAAACAUACAUACAAUCAUCUCCACAUCUGAGUAACUUAUUAAUGUGCACUACAGAAGAGUCCAACUUCAAUGAUACAUAAUACAUGAUACACAACACAAGAUACGGUUAUCAACAAUGAAAUAAUUGAGUAGUAUUAUAAGAAAGAUCAAAAACUGUCUGUGUAUUACUGACAGCACAUAUGUGUGUAUGUGAUAGUGCAGGUGGCAAUAAAAAUGUGAAAAGUUGUGUGUUUUUUGUGUCUUUUGUGAAUGCAAAAAUAGUGAUAGUGGGAAGUGUCAUCCAGCGGGAGAAGCUGCUGUAACUGAGUUGAAUCUCAUCACUAUUCUGCUGAAUAUGUCCAAUGCUACUGUGCAGUGUUGGUUUCAGGACGUGGAUAAAAAAGCUUUGAAAUCUGGCAAAAGGCAGAACCAAGUUGUCCAUAGUAUAUACAGUCUAUGGUGUGUCUGUGUCAAUGAAUCAUUUUGUUGUACUGUCUGUGUGUGAGGAUAACUACAAACACAUGGACAAACAGAAAGACAGGAAGAGAGAUACUGGUUCGACUUACAUUGGGUUGGGGUCUGGUCGGUGCAGAUCCACUAAAUGAUUUAUGAUUGUAAUUUCUUGGAGAUGUAGUUUUAAAUGGUGUGAGAUGACUAUAAUUAAUCCAAAAUACCUUGCACAUUGCCAAAUGACGAACUAAUGUCUGGUUUUAAUAUGAUAUGAAAGUGUGAAUGGAAUGCUAAUAGUUGAUAAAAUCCAAUAAUUUGGAAAUAUCAUGCAAGUCAUGCCAACAGUCACAACAAGAUGAAACUAAUGAAUGUAAUCAGCCUCUGUGAAGUGAAAGCAGUAAGUCACCUGUUCUGAUGAUCCCUAUAGAGAUAUUGUCCGGGCCAAGAACAAAUUCUGAAUAUAAUAUAGUUAUUUGACAGCAUACAGAAUAUUGUGGUCAUCAUUAAGGGUAUAAAAUGAGUGACUAUCCCUUUAUCAUUAGACAUCUCCCAAGAUGUAAAAUCAACUGUGAUAGGAUUGUUAUAAGAUCUAUGAAUACAUUUGUCUUAGAUGUCACUGUUGGACCACGCCCCUAUUUCUGACGCUUGAUGUAGUCUGAGGUGAACCAUGUGUUUUACCUUGCUUUUCCAGCGAAGAGUAGAUGAUUCCGAAAAAGAUAUUUCAACAUGGAAAUACCUCCAUAUUAGGCUGGUGGUGUGCUUAAGAGGUAUAGGUACAUAAAGAGUCCACCCAAAUUGUGCAGUACUUAAUGUACUUGUCAUAUUUCCAUCAUGCUGGCAUUUCAAAAGAGCAGUGUAAAUCCUCCCUUAAAAAAGACCAUGUGAGACAACCAGGGGUGAAGCUUUGUAUUCUAUCGAUUGUGUUUGGUAUCUGUUGUGUAGAGCAGCACUGUCUAUUCCCCACAGGAUGUUCCAGGCAGCAGUAUUGUGCAGCCCUGGUGAGCUGUGCUCAGUAUAGAAGAAACAACAUGCUCCAAACAUGUUGUUGUGCCUUUCUGUGUUCUGUUUCCUGUUAAUUUGGAUAUUGACUGUUUAGCUUCUACUGUAUGUGAAAAAGCAGCAUGAUUUUACAGUGUAGGUUUUUGCAGGUUUACUUGUGUGUAAUACAGGAAACUAUAUUCCACAUCCAGAGUAACCAAAAAUGUUGUGUUGUUACUUAAUUUUGUUUGUGGUAUCCUGGAUGUAAGCAGGAAGUGAGAACAAAAAAGGUUGAAUGAAAUAAUCAACAUAUUUGGACAGAGGCUCAGGGAGGCUAUCAUUGCCUGAUAUAUUUGGGUUUUGGCUUGCUCCUGUACCAUCCAUGUCCUGGUUCCUGUCCCCUCUCUCCUGUGUUUCUGUUGGUUAGUUAUUGUUGGGAGGCAAAAGAAGUUUGAUGUGUCGCCUGUUGUUGUCGUUGUCUUUGUCCUUGCUGCUUGACAAGUUAAAAGAAACAGUUUGUGGGUGUUGUAGAUCAUGCCCUUGUUGUAGUCUACAGUGUCUCUGUGGAAUGUUAUGUUUUAUUUGUUGAUACUUUGUGUGUAUGUCAUCAUGCCGUGAAUUAUUUUUUGUUGUACUUGUCAUGUGUUGGGAUGGGCUGCCUGUUUAUUUCCCUUACCACAGCUAUUUCUUUGUGUAUUGCUUCUCUGUCUGAGGUUGUUUAGUGUUCACCAGAUGUAGGUCUAACCAAUUUGCAAUCUCCUUUUGGAGAAGCUCUCCUUUAAAAGUCGCUAUCACAACCUAGCAUAUGUUUUCUUGACUUCCUGGUGAAGGCUUGACGGCGGAAUGCCGAGAAGUUUGCUUCUAAGGUUUACAUGACUGUGCUGCUGAAAAAAAGGCAGUGGAUCAAAUAUGUCUGAACAGUUUUCUGUAACACCACACAGUCCUGUGGACUCAACAUGCUGGGGGUCAAAUGUCAUGGUGAUCAUGCAGAGAGUGUGUGUGUGUGUGUGUGUGUGUGUGUGUGUGUGUGUGUGUGUGUGUGUGUGUGUGUGUGUGUGUGUGUGUGUGUUUGUGACUCAGGUAGAUGCUGCUGCUGCUGGAGAUGGAUCAGAGUGUUUCCUGUUGCUGGAUACCUCAAUCUGACUGGAUCAUGAAAACUGUGUGCACGUAUUCACAGAGUGAGUGGAUUCACAUGCAAAGAUAAACACUGUGAGUCACAGAGAGCUGACAGUGUCUGACAUAAAGUGUAAAACUCUUUUCCAGAUGUCUGUAUGGUGAGGAGAAGAAGCAGGAGGAAGGGGAGCUCAACAGGAACAGGCCAUCCAUGUGACUGUGGUGAAGAAGAUCUGUAUCAGUGACAGACUGUUUUGUGGCCCAAUCCAGGUUCCUUAGAGCAGCUUCUAACUGAGUCCAACAGGUGUGUUCAGGCAGCUGUAUGUAGGUGUUGCUUUAACAGUCUGCUGCAGCAGAAUAUAGUCUUUGUUUGGUGUGAAUGUUUGUAUGUGAUCACUCUUCAUUGUCAGCUGCAAAUGCAGAACCUGCAGGUUGUGCAGGUGGGGGUUAUUAUGGACUGUAAUCAGCUACGGCCUAAAGAUCAGCCAUCCAGCUGACUGUCUUAUCGGGCCAGAAGUAGUGAGAGACCGUCUGUUGGUGUCUUGCAGUAAGGUCUUAGCCUUUAUCAUGUGGAGGCAGAGAGUUGGGUUCUCCAUUUGUUAGACCAGUUUGACUGUAUGUGUCCACUGUAGGAGCUUUGAGGUGUUUGCUUUCCACCAACCGAAGCUCUGUGUUUGACAAAGUCUUUGCUGGCCCUGACGGUCACUGGUGUCCUGAACUGUCCUACAUAUGUAUGGACGGAGAGUGUGAGCUGCCUCCAGGAGCUACAGUGGGGGAUGUUCAGAGUUAGUUGCCAGAGUGCUAUCAUGUGGCCUGUCAGUGGUCACCAUAUGACUUGAGUGAGUGAACACUGAGUACAGGAAACAAGAUAUGUGGUGUUUGGUUGACUGUUUCAGGGCAGUUGAUCUUAAGACUAAUGUGGGCUGUUUGUGCACUUGUCUUUUAUCAGGUGCGCCUGUGCACGUGUUCCCAUUGGACUGGAGUUUUGGUAUGGUCAAGGUUGGAGGUGGAGCUAGGAUGGAGUUUGAGAGGAAUGAUGAGCUGAGACCAGACAUGAAGGCGAGUUUGUGUUUGUUUAUUGGCAAUUGUAGGUGUAAUUUUCUGGAGUCAAAGUUUGAGCAGCUACAAACCACAGGAGCUUGAUUCAGUGAAGAAGCGUAGCCUCAGAGCAGACAUGGUUGACUCAGAUCUGACACAUGUUUAAGGACACCUUAGGUGUUCCCACAUGUUUACUGAGGAGCAUGCAGGAAUGAUGUUAACCAAAGUUUUCUCUUGUUGUCUUCUCUUGUCUUCUUACAGGUUGGUGGUGUGAACAGAGUUGUCUGUAGAUCAUCAAUCACAAAAGGAGGUAGAAGGUUUUGGAGGUCCAGUUCCAUGUCCAACAAAGAGCUGAGCAAAGUGUUAGCUGAAGGCCCAGCUGAGGGCCAUCAGGUUAAUGUGAGCAUGGAGGCACCAACCACCAUGGAAAGCCAACAGACACGGAAGGACUUGCCUUAGAGAUAGAAGGUGUCCUGGAGGUAGAAGAUUGGAUGAGGGUUCCCAGGAGCGGAGCUGGCAAUUGAAUGUAAGUGGAUAUUUCAGAGCAUAGUGGAAGGAUGUGUGGCCUUCCCGGCGCCCUUCCCCAGGCUGACUUGCACAGGUUGACUUGCUGGUCUUUGCAAGUACGGUCUUCGCACAGACGGGCCGACGCACACGGGCUGGCGCCCAAGGGUCAACUGUGUCUACUCAUAUAGCACCUACCCGCACAGCUGAAGCCCACUUCGGCAACGGCACACAGGUGAAACUCCUUACGCAUCAAUGCAUCGCCUGUUUUCUCCCUCUAGCCCGCCCAUCAAGAGUGGAAGGUCACAUCGAUCAACGGGAACCCCUGACUUCACCCACAGAUUCAGCAUUGACCAAGGGUGAUGAUGCACAUCUGAAACUCAUUAGUCAUCAAUGAGGCAAACUACAGAAGGUGGGAACCACCUCCAUUAAUCCCACCCGCCAAUCAACAGGAAUCCUAACCCAUGACUACACCCAAAGGCUUGGCUGUGGGCCUUGUACGCAUCAGCACUGUUGGCUCUUGGUGUACUGUCCAUUCUGUAUGUCAUUACCAUAAGAUGUGUAUGUCUGACUGUACCCAUGGUUGUCUGACCCAAGCCCAAAUAAAAGACAUGUGACACAUCCUGUGACAGUCAAUCUCUGAUUCC